UACGUAGGGUGCGAGCGUUGUCCGGAAUUAUUGGGCGUAAAGAGCUCGUAGGCGGUCUGUCGCGUCUGCUGUGAAAUCCCGAGGCUCAACCUCGGGCCUGCAGUGGGUACGGGCAGACUAGAGUGCGGUAGGGGAGAUUGGAAUUCCUGGUGUAGCGGUGGAAUGCGCAGAUAUCAGGAGGAACACCGAUGGCGAAGGCAGAUCUCUGGGCCGUAACUGACGCUGAGGAGCGAAAGCGUGGGGGAGCGAAACAGG
rnacentral:rRNA from 1 species